ACACUACAAGAAAACAUUAAUUUAGAGACUGCAUUUGCAACUGUGCUCUGUAGUUGCAAAGAUGUGUGACUAAUUUCUAAUGAAUUUGCAACCAUUAAGUGACUACGGUUUAUGAAUAGUAAUUUAGUUGCAAUUUUGUGACCAAUACUUGUGGUGGUAAUUUCGUUGCUUAUUUAUGACCUAUUUGCAACUCAGUUGCAACUAAAUGGUGUAAUUGCAAAAUAGUGUCAAAAAAAACAACGUAUUUAGGACCAAAGUAUACAGUUACAAAUACGUAGUUACAAAUUAGUUGCUAAUAUAAAUUAAAUUGCGUAGUUGCAAAUAAGUAACUAUAUUUUGGGACACUUGUGUGACUUUAAUCAAAAGAGUAGUAUUUUAGUGGCUAAUAUGGUUUUGAAAACACAGGCCGCCACAGUUAUAUAGAGAUUAUAACUAUUUCACGACUAUGAACAGACAUUUAUAACAAAGUAAAGCAACUUUUCAGUUUUCUGCUAUAGAAACUUAUUUGCUAAAAAUAGUUUAGCUGAUAUUAAUAAUUUGUUUUUUUCAAUAGAAAAGCAUCAGUUAUCAUGUCCGAGUGUAGUAGAAGAGUAGUUGUACUAUUUGCUACAUAUUUUGCAGUAUAGUUAGGUUUAGUGUUUAGGGUGUUUUCACUCAAAAUUGUAAAUUUAAUAUUUUCUUGUAGAUUUCUAUAAUUUUAAUACGAACUCAACAUCACAAACAUAUAUAUAUAUAUAUAUAUAUAUAUAGUAACAUUUAUGAUUUUGCCCUUAUUAUGUGAUUUUUAAAAAAAUUAAAAGAGUAAUCUUAUUUUGUGACUAAUUUACUACUAUAAGCAUUUGUAACUAACUUGUGACCAACAAUAUUUGUAUUCAGCCACUCAACACACUAUAAGCAUCUGUAACUAACUUGUGACUUCAAAUAUAAAAGGAGUUACAAUGAAGUAUCAAGUAUACAGUCCCAAAAAAAUUCAAGUUUAUAUAGUCAUUU
rnacentral:lncRNA from 1 species